CAUGGAAGAAUUCAGGUUGCAAGGGGCUCUAAAGAUCACCUCAUUCCAAGGCUGCUGCCGCCGUGGGCAGGGACGUGCUUCCAUAGAGCAGCUUGCUCAGAGCCUCAUCGCAGAGCACCGACGGGCCUUGAGCACUUGCAGCGAUGGGGCAGCCCCAGGACCUCUGAGCAACCUGUGCCCUGUGCCAGCCGGGUGCCAGAGGAGGAAGGAAGCCCUUCCCACCUGGAGCAGAGGCUGCGUAGCCUUGUGUCACCGAGCGUGUGAGACAGAAAGGCCCUUCCUUUCUGGAGGGGUAACAACACUCAAAGCUCUUUCUCGGGACAAGCCGAGCAAUGGAAGGCCAAAGUAGCCUUCAGUUCUUCCAGCAGCUUUGGGAACAACUUGAAGGAGGAGCAGAGCUGGCCUGGUGCCUGCCGGCUCUGCAGGCAGUGGGCAUGGCGAAGCUGCAGCUGCAUCUGUCUUCUUGGCUGAGGCUUUAUAAAUGAGGCGCUUUUCUGUAGUUCCUUUUCAGGCAUGACGUGCAAGUUGCCCCUAGAAGUCCAAAGGCAGCUGUUUUCUUAGCAGAAGGAAGUCAGGAGGAGGCAAAGCCAGCAGCUAAGUCUGGAUAAAAAACUUGGCUAACCUCUUUUCCCCCCCUCCUCCAAACAGGCAAUUGUGAAGCACUCAGCAGAGAUCUGCCCGGGAGGAAAAGCAGAGCCAAUCUCUGAGAAGAAGGGACGUGCGAGCUCUGGCGAGGACGGCUGCUCCCCCUGGCCUUGGUGUGGGACCUCCUGAGCUGCCAUUCCUGUGGUGGGAGUGUUCCUCCUCUCCUCCGGCCAAGCCAGAGACCGCCUAGGGAAGGAGCAGAGUGCAGCCGCCCAAGAAGGGAUUUUUUUGGCUCAGCCAGAUGUGCUCCCGCCUCCCACCGAGACGCUGAGACGGAGCUGAGUUUGCCUUCCAAUGUCUUGGAACAGAGGUUCAUGGGAAGUUUUCUCAGCUAUCUAAGGCACGGAGCCCUGGAGCCAAGUCAGCCUGAGCUGCUGCGUGCUUGCUGUGAGCCUUGAGGGCAGGACAGCGUUCAGACUGAAAGUGUAAGAAGAUGUGGAGUGAGACAGAAUCUGACAGGAGCACCGGACUCACAAGUGCAUGAAUUUUGCUUUUUGCUUGGAUUCAAACUCGGAAGUUGUAAGGAAUUUGGGAAGGAGAAGGGACAUUUCAGAAGGAGAAGAAGAAAAAGAAGUUGUUGUUUUUACAGCCCUGGCAAAAUCUUUGGUUCUAGCUAAUAAAGGAAGCUAGUUGAAAUAAAAAAAAAGAAAAAAAUGGG